GUCCGCAACGAGCGCAACCCUCGACCUUAGUUGCCAGCAUUCAGUUGGGCACUCUAAGGUGACUGCCGGCUAAAAGUCGGAGGAAGGUGGGGAUGACGUCAAAUCAUCAUGCCCCUUAUGACCUGGGCUACACACGUGCUACAAUGGGCGGUACAAAGGGUCGCGAACCCGCGAGGGGGAGCCAAUCCCAAAAAGCCGCUCUCAGUUCGGAUUGCAGGCUGCAACUCGCCUGCAUGAAGCCGGAAUCGCUAGUAAUCGCGGAUCAGCAUGCCGCGGUCGAAUACGUUCCGGGCCUU
rnacentral:rRNA from 1 species